rnacentral:rRNA from 1 species
CCUACGGGAGGCAGCAGUGGGGAAUAUUGCGCAAUGGGCGAAAGCCUGACGCAGCGACGCCGCGUGAGGGAUGAAGGUCUUCGGAUCGUUAACCUCUGUCAGCAGGGAAGAACGGUCACUGUGCUAAUCAGCCGUGAAUUGACGGUACCUGCAAAGGAAGCACCGGCUAACUCCGUGCCAGCAGCCGCGGCAAUACGGAGGGGGCGAGCGUUAAUCGGAAUUACUGGGCGUAAAGCGCUCGUAGGUGGUAUGUCAAGUCAAGGGUGAAAUGCCCGCGCUCAACGGGGGAACUGCCUUUGAAACUGGCAGACUGGAGUGUGUGAGAGGUUAGUGGAAUUCGAGGUGUAGGAGUGAAAUCCGUAGAUAUCAGGAGGAACAUC